rnacentral:rRNA from 1 species
UGUAUUUAUUAGAUAAAAAACCAAUGCCCUUCGGGGCUUUUUGGUGAUUCAUGAUAACUUUACGGAUCGCAUAGCCUUGCGCUGGCGACGGUUCAUUCAAAUUUCUGCCCUAUCAACUUUCGAUGGUAAGGUAUUGGCUUACCAUGGUUUCAACGGGUAACGGGGAAUUAGGGUUCGAUUCCGGAGAGGGAGCCUGAGAAACGGCUACCACAUCCAAGGAAGGCAGCAGGCGCGCAAAUUACCCAAUCCCGACACGGGGAGGUAGUGACAAUAAAUACUGAUACAGGGCUCUUUUGGGUCUUGUAAUUGGAAUGAGUACAAUUUAAACCUCUUAACGAGGAACAAUUGGAGGGCAAGUCUGGUGCCAGCAGCCGCGGUAAUUCCAGCUCCAAUAGCGUAUAUUAAAGUUGUUGCAGUUAAAAAGCUCGUAGUUGAAACUUGGGCCUGGCUGGCGGGUCCGCCUCACCGCGUGCACUCGUCCGGCCGGGCCUUCCUUCUGAAGAACCUCAUGCCCUUCACUGGGCGUGCU